rnacentral:rRNA from 1 species
UACGAAGGGGGGCUAGCGUUGUUCGGAAUUACUGGGCGUAAAAGCGCACGUAGGCGGAUAUUUAAGUCAGGGGUGAAAUCCCAGAGCUCAACCUGGAGACGCCACUUGAUACUGCUGUGGCUAGAGUCCGGUAGGGGAGCAUGGAAUUCCUGGUGUAGCGGUGAAAUGCGCAGAUAUCAGGAGGAACACCAGUGGCGAAGGCGGUGCUCUGGGCCGGAACUGACGCUGAGGAGCGAAAGCGUGGGGAGCAAACAGG